rnacentral:miRNA from 1 species
UUUUAUUGUGUGCUUCACAAGCUCUUCCUUGUAGUUGCAGCAUUAUGAGGAGCCCUGCAAGCAUGCCAUAAAA